rnacentral:rRNA from 1 species
GUCCACGCCCUAAACGAUGGGCACUAGGUGUGGGAGGUAUCGACCCCUCCCGUGCCGCAGCUAACGCAUUAAGUGCCCCGCCUGGGGAGUACGGUCGCAAGACUAAAACUCAAAGGAAUUGACGGGGGCCCGCACAAGCGGUGGAGCAUGUGGUUUAAUUCGACGCAACGCGAAGAACCUUACCUGGGCUUGACAUCCCUGGAACCCCUAUGAAAGUAGGGGGUGCCUCGAAAGAGGAGCCAGGAGACAGGUGCUGCAUGGCUGUCGU